rnacentral:rRNA from 1 species
CAUGGCUCAGGACGAACGCUAGCUACAGGCUUAACACAUGCAAGUCGAGGGGCAGCAUUGGAGUAGCAAUACUUCAGAUGGCGACCGGCGCACGGGUGAGUAACACGUAUCCAACCUGCCGCUUACUCGGGGAUAGCCUUUCGAAAGAAAGAUUAAUACCCGAUGGUAUAAAGAGUUCGCAUGUUCUCUUUAUUAAAGAAUUUCGGUAAGCGAUGGGGAUGCGUUCCAUUAGAUAGUUGGCGGGGUAACGGCCCACCAAGUCUACGAUGGAUAGGGGUUCUGAGAGGAAGGUCCCCCACAUUGGAACUGAGACACGGUCCAAACUCCUACGGGAGGCAGCAGUGAGGAAUAUUGGUCAAUGGACGAGAGUCUGAACCAGCCAAGUAGCGUGAAGGAUGACUGCCCUAUGGGUUGUAAACUUCUUUUAUAAGGGAAUAAAGUGAGGGACGUGUCCCUUUUUGUAUGUACCUUAUGAAUAAGGAUCGGCUAACUCCGUGCCAGCAGCUGC